CGGAUCGGAUCCAUAUAUAAUCUGAUCCCGAUUCAUGAAAUAUAUAUUCGGUUCGGAUCCGGAUCCGGAUUGAUUUGAGUCUAGAUUAUAAAUAACAAGAUCAAUAAGUAGAAGAUUUAUAAACAACCUUAUUUGUACUAUAAAUUUUGAUCCUAAUGCAUUAGACUAUUAGAAUUUCCAUAUCUCACACUCUUCAUCCAAGAAUUAAAAAUGUCUAAUUAUAUUUUUCUCACCACUGUCUUUGACUUAAUU
rnacentral:lncRNA from 1 species